rnacentral:lncRNA from 1 species
UAUUACUGUACUUUUACUACCGAGUAGUUCAACAGUUUUAACAGUAAAACUUCCUCCAUUUGAAGAACCUUCUUCCUGAUAUCACCGGUGUCUGGAUCUCUUUUGAGAUGGGUGUUUUCAGGGUCUUUGUUGGUCAUAUCCAACAGAGGUUCUUGAAUUGUCUUUUCCAGACCUUGAACUCCUCCUUAUGUAGAGGAUUCUGUAUGUGUAGGUAUCUUCGUACCCUGAGUGGACUUGUG